UACGUAGGGGCCGAGCGUUGUCCGGAGUUACUGGGCGUAAAGCGCGCGCAGGCGGCGGUCCGCGCCCGGCGUGAAAUCCCACGGCUCAACCGUGGAACUGCUUGGUAUACUGCGGGUCUUGAGCCACCUAGGGGCAAGUGGAACAAACGGUGGAGCGGUGAAAUGCGUAGAUAUCGUUUGGAACGCCAAUGGUGAAAACAACUUGCUGGGGGUGUGCUGACGCUGAGACACGAAAGCCAGGGGAGCAAACGGG
rnacentral:rRNA from 1 species